UGUCAGCAGCCGCGGUAAUACGGAGGAUGCAAGCGUUAUCCGGAAUCAUUGGGUUUAAAGGGUCCGUAGGCGGCCAAAUAAGUCAGUGGUGAAAGCCCAUCGCUCAACGAUGGAACGGCCAUUGAUACUGUUUGGCUUGAAUUAUUAGGAAGUAACUAGAAUAUGUAGUGUAGCGGUGAAAUGCUUAGAGAUUACAUGGAAUACCAAUUGCGAAGGCAGGUUACUACUAAUAUAUUGACGCUGAUGGACGAAAGCGUGGGGAGCGAACAGGAUUAGAUACCCUCGUAGUCC
rnacentral:rRNA from 1 species